rnacentral:tRNA from 1 species
GAGGGUAUAGCUUAGGCAGUAGAGUACCUACUUAGCAUGCAGGAAGUCCUGGGUUCAAUCCCCAGUACCUCCU